CAAUAAAUUAAACGCGGGUCUCCUCCCAGGUCAGCUCCCAGGUUCGGUUCCAUUUGCUUCCAUUACGGUGCGAGUAGCGGUACGUUACGGACGCUACGCUUCAGAAGCCGAAAAUCCACGGAGAAGAAGACUGUAUCAGAGCGACCAAGAGCAACCAGAUUCUCUUGUCAUGGCCCCACACCCCGCACGUCCAUCUUAGUCUGCGUUUGGAAACUUCACCCGGGUGCACCCGCCGAGACUUAUGCUGUUCGGAAACGUUCAGGUUGUACCAGUGUGACAGAGAUGAAGUCGUUCGGAAACUUCACCCGGGUGCACCUCAGGAGGAAAAUUUUCCACCCUGAAAUUUCAAGCUAGCCGCUGCACAGGGCAGGAUAAGCAAAAUGAAGGAGUGCGAGUGCCAAAAGUCCUGUAGGGUGAAUGGUACCGUCCACGAGGACGGCGCAACCUGAGUAAAGGAUUGUCAACAUUGUUCCUGCGUCCAUGGCGAGAUUGAGUGCAGGCCGACGCUCUGCGCUCCGUUCACCUGCAAGAAUCCCGUCAUUCUUGAGGGACAAUAUGUUGCCCGACCUGUCUCAAACAAUGUUUGUUGCACGGCGUAAUUUACGAUCGCGGCGAAAGGGUCUCAUCGAAGCAGUGCGUCGAGUGCAAAUGCUACGACGGUAUCUUCACCUGCACGAGAUUCGACACUGACACCAAAUGCCCACCACUACCGUGUCCACCCAGCGAGCAACUCAGCGUGGCGGAGGGAUGCUGCAAGUUUUGUCCAGGUACGUCUUCGUUUGGAAAGCUACACGCCGAAACGAAUAUAUUCAUUGAAAAUUCAUUUCCAAAACGAAAUAACAAAGCAUCUAAUAUUUCAUAUCUGUGCUGUAUGAUGUUAUAACUCGAUUCUAAACAGUCAGUAUUGAUAGUUUCGUUAAUAAGAGAGUAUUUUUUUUCUUAUAAUCCACAGAUUCUUAUUAUAAAAUAGAUGAUGUAGAUAUCAAUCAUAUAUGGUGAAGUACCAAUCAAUCUAUUUCAAUAUAUAUGUAUAUCUACACUGUUGGAAACAUUUUGUAUAGUUUUGUUAAAAAAGGUCCUUGUUAAAAUU